rnacentral:rRNA from 1 species
GACGAACCGUGCGAACGUUGUUCGGAAUCACUGGGCUUAAAGGGCGCGCAGGCGGGCUGCCAAGUCCGUAGGUGAAAUCCCCCGGCUCAACCGGGGAACGGCCUCGGAUACUGGCGGCCUCGAGGGGGGUAGGGGCGUGCGGAACUGUGGGUGGAGCGGUGAAAUGCGUUGAGAUCCACAGGAACUCCGGUGGCGAAGGCGGCACGCUGGACCCUUUCUGACGCUGAGGCGCGAAAGCCAGGGGAGCGAACGGG